rnacentral:rRNA from 1 species
GAACUGAAGAGUUUGAUCAUGGCUCAGAUUGAACGCUGGCGGCAGGCCUAACACAUGCAAGUCGAGCGGAUGACGGGAGCUUGCUCCUUGAUUCAGCGGCGGACGGGUGAGUAAUGCCUAGGAAUCUGCCUGGUAGUGGGGGACAACGUUUCGAAAGGAACGCUAA